rnacentral:rRNA from 1 species
CAGCCGUAAACUAUGCUCGCUAGGUGUCAGGCAUGGCGCGACCGUGUCUGGUGCCGCAGGGAAACCGUGAAGCGAGCCACCUGGGAAGUACGGCCGCAAGGCUGAAACUUAAAGGAAUUGGCGGGGGAGCACAACAACGGGUGGAGCCUGCGGUUUAAUUGGACUCAACGCCGGACAACUCACCGGGGACGACAGCAAUAUGUAGGCCAGGCUGAAGACCUUGCCUGAAUCGCUGAGAGGAGGUGCAUGGCGUAGACGUCU